rnacentral:rRNA from 1 species
CCUACGGGAGGCAGCAGUGGGGAAUAUUGGGCAAUGGGCGAAAGCCUGACCCAGCGACGCCGCGUGAGGGACGAAGGCCUUCGGGUUGUAAACCUCUUUCAGCAGGGAAGAAGCGAAAGUGACGGUACCUGCAGAAGAAGCACCGGCUAACUACGUGCCAGCAGCCGCGGUAAUACGUAGGGUGCAAGCGUUGUCCGGAAUUAUUGGGCGUAAAGAGCUCGUAGGUGGUUUGCCACGUCGGAUGUGAAAACCUGAGGCUUAACCUCAGGCCUGCAUUCGAUACGGGCAGACUAGAGUGUGGUAGGGGAGACUGGAAUUCCUGGUGUAGCGGUGAAAUGCGCAGAUAUCAGGAGGAACACCGGUGGCGAAGGCGGGUCUCUGGGCCAUAACUGACACUGAGGAGCGAAAGCGUGGGGAGCAAACAGGAUUAGAUACCCUGGUAGUCCACGCCGUAAACGGUGGGCACUAGAUGUGGGGACCUUCCACGGUCUCUGCGUCGCAGCUAACGCAUUAAGUGCCCCGCCUGGGGAGUACGGCCGCAAGGCUAAAACGUCAAAGGAAUUGACGG